rnacentral:rRNA from 1 species
AUUGAACGCUGGCGGCAGGCCUAACACAUGCCAGUCGAGCGGAGCGGCGGACGGGUGAUUAAUGCCUAGGAAUCUGCCUGGUAGUGGGGGAUAACGUCCGGAAACGGGCGCUAAUACCGCAUCCUAUCAGCUGAGCCUAGGUCGGAUUAGCUCGUUGGUGGGGUAAAGGCCUACCAAGGCGACGAUCCGUAACUGUUCUGAGAGGAUGAUCAGUCACACUGGAACUGAGACACGGUCCAGACGCCUACGGGAGGCAGCAGUGAGGAAUAUUGGUCAAUGGGCGAGAGCCUGAACCAGCCAAGUCGCGUGAAGGAUGACUGUCUUUGGAUUGUAAACUUCUUUUGUAGGGGAAUAUGUACCCUACGAAUAAGCAUCGGCUAACUCCGUGCCAGCAGCCGCGGUAAUUC